UACGGAGGGUGCAAGCGUAGUUCGGAAUCACUGGGCGUAAAGGGCGCGUAGGCGGACCUGUGGGUCUGAUGUGAAAGCCCGGGGCUCAACCCCGGAAGUGCAUUGGAAACUACAGGUCUUGAGUUUGGGAGAGGAGAGCAGAAUUCCCGGUGUAGGGGUGGAAUCCGUAGAUAUCGGGAGGAAAACCAGUGGCGAAGGCGGCUCUCUGGAACAUAACUGACGCUAAGGCGCGAAAGCGUGGGGAGCAAACAGG
rnacentral:rRNA from 1 species